rfam:Oryza glumipatula chromosome 2, whole genome shotgun sequence.
UUUAAGUGCAACCAUGAGUUUUCGUGCCCAACUUUAAUCGUCUGUCUUAUUUGAAUUUUUUUAUAAUUAAUAUUUUUAUUUUUUUGAGAUGAUAAGAUAUGAAUAGUACUUUAUGUGUGACUUAUGUUUGCAAAUGUUUUCAAAAAGAAAAAUUAAACAAGACGAAUGAUCAAAGUUGGGCACAAAAAAUUAUGGCUGCACUUAAA